rnacentral:rRNA from 1 species
AGUGAACGCUGGCGGUAGGCCUAACACAUGCAAGUCGAACGGCAGCACAGAGGAGCUUGCUCCUUGGGUGGCGAGUGGCGGACGGGUGAGGAAUACAUCGGAAUCUACUCUGUCGUGGGGGAUAACGUAGGGAAACUUACGCUAAUACCGCAUACGACCUACGGGUGAAAGCAGGGGACCUUCGGGCCUUGCGCGAUUGAAUGAGCCGAUGUCGGAUUAGUUAGUUGGCGGGGUAAAGGCCCACCAAGGCGACGAUCCGUAGCUGGUCUGGGAGGAUGAGCAGCCACACUGGAACUGAGACAGGGUCCAGACUCCUACGUGAGGCAGCAGUGGGGAAUAUUGGACAAUGGGCGCAAGCCUGAUCCAGCCAUACCGCGUGGGUGAAGAAGGCCUUCGGGUUGUAAAGCCCUUUUGUUGGGAAAGAAAUCCAGCUGGCUAAUACCCGGUUGGGAUGACGGUACCCAAAGAAUAAGCACCGGCUAACUUCGUGCCAGCCGCCGCCGUAA